AAGUACCGAAGUUCUGGCGUCACACUGCCAAGAAAAACUUCUAGCAAGAAGGUAAUGGCCCGUACCGCAAACCGACACAGGUCGUCGAGGAGAGUAUCCUCAGGUGAGCGAGCGAACUCUCGUUAAGGAACUCGGCAAAAUGACCCCGUAACUUCGGGAGAAGGGGUGCUGCUCUAACGAGCAGCCGCAGUGAAUAGGCCCAAGCGACUGUUUAUCAAAAACACAGGUCUCUGCAAAAUCGUAAGAUGACGUAUAGGGGCUGACGCCUGCCCGGUGCUGGAAGGUUAAGAGGAGUGCUUAGCGUAAGCGAAGGUACGAAUUGAAGCCCCAGUAAACGGCGGCCGUAACUAUAACGGUCCUAAGGUAGCGAAAUUCCUUGUCGGGUAAGUUCCGACCCGCACGAAAGGCGCAACGAUUUGGGCACUGUCUCAACGAGAGACUCGGUGAAAUUUUAGUACCUGUGAAAAUGCAGGUUACCCGCGACAGGACGGAAAGACCCCAUGGAGCUUUACUGUAAUUUGAUAUUGGGUGUCUGUGA
rnacentral:rRNA from 1 species